ensembl:lncRNA
GUUGGUUUGCCAACCGCCAUUAAAACCAAAAGAAGAAGAAGCAGAGGAGUUUCGCGAGUGACGUCAGACCAACAUGGCUGAGCACUCUGUGAACAUCGACGCAGACAGCGAGGUGACUCUGAUCCUGGACCCAGAGAAGAGCACAUUUCUGGGUAAUGCUCCUCUGUACCAGUCAGCCGAUGACCCUACUACAUUCUACCUUGAUGAAGCCUUGACGGUCAGAGUGAACUUGUAUACUACUGUAACCAAGCAAGAGGAUAACGUGUACAUCGUGGAUGCUGCACCCCUGCCACAAAAUGAAUCUUUUGAUACAGAGCAAACCCUCUUUCUGAUCGAUUUGAUGCGCCAGCAGUUGGAAGCAGACGGCGAAAGUCUCCUUCGAGCUUUAAAGGAGUUCAAUCCCCGAAUAAAGUCGGGCAAAAGCCGCAAGAAACAUAUGUGGAGGGAGCUGGCUACUAGACUCUCCAAACACUUUGGGCAGGUCUUCCAUCCUGAUCAUGUGGCGAGAACAUGGUACGCUCUUGAGGACGAAUACAAAAAAGCGAAAGACGAUAAUAGAAUGAGUGGUCAAGAAGCCGUGACGUUCCAGUUUUUUAGUGAGAUGGAAGAGCUGUUGGGCGGGCAUCAUGACGUCGAAUUUCCCGUCGUUGGCACGGUGAAGGGUGUAGAGGUGCGCAGGCCAAAGGCAUUGAAUGUGGACGGUGGAAGAGAAUCGCCUGCGACGGCGCACACGGGCUCGGCCACGCCAGCAGCAACACCAACGGCUUCAGCGACACCAACGCGACCUUCGACGCUCAAGCGGAGACGGAGAGAUGAGCACUAUUUGACUCUUCUGGACUUUUUAAAGGAAUCUACGGCAGCUCGGCGGCGGCGCCACGAGGAAACUCUAGCCCAGAUGAAAUCCGCUCAGGACGGGUUUGAGGCUCUGAUGAACAGAUUCCUGGACAAACUUUGACCUUCUCUGUGCAGCCACACCAAACGAACAUUCAGCUCUGCUAUUUCCUUUAUACUUUUUUUUUUUCCAUGUGUAGUUGUUUUUGUUUGUUUGUUUGUUUGUUUGUUUUGCUAAUCUUUAAUGCGUAGUGUAGCGUAUAUGACUGACGACAAUGCAAAAAGCAUUUUUUUAAUACCAAUUUAGUUGCAAUUUAUUGUGCAAAAUAUACUUGCAUAACAUUUGACUUCCUGAAAACCUCAAGUAAAGGAGUUUACAAACUAUGGAGUGUGUCAUAUUUCACUUUGACAGUGCUUCCUGUUUCAUUCGAAACGAUGUUUUCUCGUGUUACACAGUGACGGGAUGUUGUUGUUGGUUUAUGAUCCUUAAAAUCCUUUAAUAAUGAAAAGCGUAAUAAGCGAAUGAGCCUCAUAAGCAAACCAAAGCAACGAAUGUACAGUAGCUUGCACGAUUAUACUCAACACACUUACAUAGAGUGGAUAGAACAAGUCUACACACACCUGUUAUAAACUUAAACCCCCUUUUUUUCAUCCUUUUACAUGAUACCAACAAAAUGCGAGUGAAAAAGGUUUUUAGGGAGGGGGGGGACCUUACAG